CUGAAAUCAUAGGGACCGGUCGGUUUCGGCUGAUGCGGUCUCUGGGGCUUCGGCCCUAUAACACAUUGUGAACUGUACUCCUAGGACCGAGUUCGCUUGGUACUAGUUCUUAAACUUUGUCUAAAAUGUCUUAUCCUAAAGAUCAAUCGAAA
rnacentral:misc_RNA from 1 species